rnacentral:rRNA from 1 species
UAAGCGGAGGAUAAGAAACUAAAUAGGAUUCCCUCAGUAAUGGCGAAUGAACAGGGAUAAGCUCAGCAUGGAAAUUGGGGCCCUCGGCCUUGAAUUGUAGUCUUGAGAUGUGUUACCAACGGAGGCGCAGAUGUAAGCCUCUUGGAAAAGAGCGUCAGGGAGGGUGAGAGUCCCGUAUGUCAUCUGCAGUUCUCUGUGCACGGUGCAUGUUCUAAGAGUCACGUUCCUCGGGAUUGGAGCGCAAAUUGGGUGGUAAAUUUCAUCUAAAGCUAAAUAUUGGUUCGAGACCGAUAGCAAACAAGUACCAUGAGGGAAAGGUGAAAAGGACUUUGAAAAGAGAGUUAAAAGUGCCUGAAAUUGCUGAAAGGGAAGCGAAUGGAACCAGUUGUUCUUGGUGAGUAUUGGUGUUGUCUAAAGUGAUGGCUUGCCACUUCAACGCAAGUGUGGUGGCAGGUUUUGAUCUGGAUGCGAUACUGCUUCUCGCCUUGCAUGUCAACGUCAGUUCAUAAUUGAGGAAAACUCUAAGGACAUGGUAAUUCGCUUCCGAGUGACUGAAUGUCCUCAGUUGAACUCAUUUUUGAACUGCUCUCUGUGUGUCUGGUAGCACUGCUUCAUGUGCUUGCCUGCGAUCUUCUGCUCUGCAUGAAGGUUGUUGGUGCCAGGAGCAUGUCCUUGACAUUAGAACGAUGACGAAAUGGUUUUAUUCGACCCGUCUUGAA